GGAGAUGCUGGAGAUGGUGCCUAAGCCGGUGCUGGCGGUGCUCUUUCUUUACCCGUAUACCUCGCCGAGUUCGUCGGAGAUGGAAAUAGAGCAAGCGCAAAGCUUGGAGGCCGAGAAGAAGAAGCCUACUAGUGAGAAGGUGUAUUUCACGAAACAAACUGUGGGUAAUGCCUGUGGAACCAUUGGUAUUCUUCAUGCUAUAGGGAAUGCAUUGUCCGAAAUCAAGCUACGUGAGGAUUCAUACUUGGAUAGGUUCUACAAGUCAACUGCCAACAUGGAUCCAUUUGAGCGUGCUGCUUUUUUUGAGAAGGACAGAG
rnacentral:misc_RNA from 1 species